CCGACGAUAGCUCAGUUGGUAGUAGCAUCAGACUGUAGUGAACGAGCAAUCUGAGGGUCCCCGGUUCGACUCCGGGUCGUCGGA